UACGAAGGGGGCUAGCGUUGUUCGGAAUCACUGGGCGUAAAGGGCGCGUAGGCGGCCGAUCAAGUCGGGGGUGAAAGCCUGUGGCUCAACCACAGAAUUGCCUUCGAUACUGUUUGGCUUGAGACCGGAAGAGGUAAGUGGAACUGCGAGUGUAGAGGUGAAAUUCGUAGAUAUUCGCAAGAACACCAGUGGCGAAGGCGGCCAACUGGUCCGGUUCUGACGCUGAGGCGCGAAAGCGUGGGGAGCAAACAGG
rnacentral:rRNA from 1 species